rnacentral:rRNA from 1 species
GACGAACGCUGGCGGCGUGCUUAACACAUGCAAGUCGAACGAUGAAGCCGGAGCUUGCUCUGGUGAAUUAGUGGCGAACGGGUGAGUAACACGUGAGUAACCUGCCCUUGACUCUGGGAUAACUGCUAGAAAUGGUAGCUAAUACCGGAUACGACCCUCGGAGGCAUCUCCAGGGGGUGGGAAGAAUUUCGGUCAAGGAUGGACUCGCGGCCUAUCAGCUAGUUGGUGAGGUAAUGGCUCACCAAGGCGACGACGGGUAGCCGGCCUGAGGGGGUGACCGGCCACACUGGGACGGAGACACGGCCCAGACUCCUACGGGAGGCAGCAGUGGGGAAUAUUGCACAAUGGGCGCAAGCCUGAUGCAGCAACGCCGCGUGAGGGAUGACGGCCUUCGGGUUGUAAACCUCUUUUAGUAGGGAAGAAGCGAAAGUGACGGUACCUGCAGAAAAAGCACCGGCUAACUACGUGCCAGCAGCCGCCGUAA